UACGUAGGGUGCAAGCGUUGUCCGGAAUUAUUGGGCGUAAAGAGCUUGUAGGCGGUUUGUCGCGUCUGCUGUGAAAUUUCGGGGCUCAACCCCGAACUUGCAGUGGGUACGGGCAGACUAGAGUGUGGUAGGGGAGACUGGAAUUUCCGGUGGAGCGGUGAAAUGCAUUGAGAUCGGAAAGAACACCAACGGCGAAAGCACUCUGCUGGGCCGACACUGACACUGAGAGACGAAAGCUAGGGGAGCAAAUGGG
rnacentral:rRNA from 1 species